rnacentral:rRNA from 1 species
CGAUAGUGAACCAGUACCGUGAGGGAAAGGUGAAAAGCACCCCGGAAGGGGAGUGAAAUAGAACCUGAAACCGUGUGCUUACAAGUAGUCAGAGCCCGUUAAUGGGUGAUGGCGUGCCUUUUGUAGAAUGAACCGGCGAGUUACGAUUUGAUGCAAGGUUAAGCAGUAAAUGUGGAGCCGUAGCGAAAGCGAGUCUGAAUAGGGCGUUUAGUAUUUGGUCGUAGACCCGAAACCAGGUGAUCUACCCUUGGUCAGGUUGAAGUUCAGGUAACACUGAAUGGAGGACCGAACCGACUUACGUUGAAAAGUGAGCGGAUGAACUGAGGGUAGCGGAGAAAUUCCAAUCGAACCUGGAGAUAGCUGGUUCUCUCCGAAAUAGCUUUAGGGCUAGCCUCAAGUGAUGAUUAUUGGAGGUAGAGCACUGUUUGGACGAGGGGCCCCUCUCGGGUUACCGAAUUCAGACAAACUCCGAAUGCCAAUUAAUUUAACUUGGGAGUCAGAACAUGGGUGAUAAGGUCCGUGUUCGAAAGGGAAACAGCCCAGACCACCAGCUAAGGUCCCAAAAUAUAUGUUAAGUGGAAAAGGAUGUGGCGUUGCCCAGACAACUAGGAUGUUGGCUUAGAAGCAGCCAUCAUUUAAAGAGUGCGUAAUAGCUCACUAGUCGAGUGACACUGCGCCGAAAAUGUACCGGGGCUAAACAUAUUACCGAAGCUGUGGAUUGUCCUUUGGACAAUGGUAGGAGAGCGUUCUAAGGGCGUUGAAGCAUGAUCGUAAGGACAUGUGGAGCGCUUAGAAGUGAGAAUGCCGGUGUGAGUAGUGAAAGACGGGUGAGAAUCCCGUCCACCGAUUGACUAAGGUUUCCAGAGGAAGGCUCGUCCGCUCUGGGUUAGUCGGGUCCUAAGCUGAGGCCGACAGGCGUAGGCGAUGGAUAACAGGUUGAUAUUCCUGUACCACCUAUAAUCGUUUUAAUCGAUGGGGGGACGCAGUAGGAUAGGCGAAGCGUGCGAUUGGAUUGCACGUCUAAGCAGUAAGGCUGAGUAUUAGGCAAAUCCGGUACUCGUUAAGGCUGAGCUGUGAUGGGGAGAAGACAUUGUGUCUUCGAGUCGUUGAUUUCACACUGCCGAGAAAAGCCUCUAGAUAGAAAAUAGGUGCCCGUACCGCAAACCGACACAGGUAGUCAAGAUGAGAAUUCUAAGGUGAGCGAGCGAACUCUCGUUAAGGAACUCGGCAAAAUGACCCCGUAACUUCGGGAGAAGGGGUGCUCUUUAGGGUUAACGCCCAGAAGAGCCGCAGUGAAUAGGCCCAAGCGACUGUUUAUCAAAAACACAGGUCUCUGCUAAACCGUAAGGUGAUGUAUAGGGGCUGACGCCUGCCCGGUGCUGGAAGGUUAAGAGGAGUGGUUAGCUUCUGCGAAGCUACGAAUCGAAGCCCCAGUAAACGGCGGCCGUAACUAUAACGGUCCUAAGGUAGCGAAAUUCCUUGUCGGGUAAGUUCCGACCCGCACGAAAGGCGUAACGAUUUGGGCACUGUCUCAACGAGAGACUCGGUGAAAUCAUAGUACCUGUGAAGAUGCAGGUUACCCGCGACAGGACGGAAAGACCCCGUGGAGCUUUACUGUAGCCUGAUAUUGAAAUUCGGCACAGCUUGUACAGGAUAGGUAGGAGCCUUUGAAACGUGAGCGCUAGCUUACGUGGAGGCGCUGGUGGGAUACUACCCUAGCUGUGUUGGCUUUCUAACCCGCACCACUUAUCGUGGUGGGAGACAGUGUCAGGCGGGCAGUUUGACUGGGGCGGUCGCCUCCUAAAAGG